AUUGAACGCUGGCGGCAUGCCUUACACAUGCAAGUCGAACGGCAGCACGGGUGCUUGCACCUGGUGGCGAGUGGCGAACGGGUGAGUAAUACAUCGGAACAUGUCCUGUAGUGGGGGAUAGCCCGGCGAAAGCCGGAUUAAUACCGCAUACGAUCUACGGAUGAAAGCGGGGGACCUUCGGGCCUCGCGCUAUAGGGUUGGCCGAUGGCUGAUUAGCUAGUUGGUGGGGUAAAGGCCUACCAAGGCGACGAUCAGUAGCUGGUCUGAGAGGACGACCAGCCACCGGGGGAGUGAGACGCGGCCCAGCCCCCUGCGGGAGGCAGCAGUGGGGAUUUUGGGACAAGGGGUGAAAGCGUGAUCCAGCAAUGCGGCGUGUGUAAAGAAGGCCUCGGGGUUGUAAAGCUCUUUUGUCGGGAAAGAAACCCUGGCCCCUAAUACGGUCGGGGGAGGAGGGUACGGAAAGAAAAAGCCCCGGCUAACUACGUG
rnacentral:rRNA from 1 species